GAUGAAGAACGCAGCGAAAUGCGAUAAGUAGUGUGAAUUGCAGAAUUCAGUGAAUCAUCGAAUCUUUGAACGCACAUUGCGCCCUUUGGUAUUCCUUAGGGCACGCCUGUUCGAGCGUCAUUUAAACCUUCAAGCUCAGCUUGGUGAUGGGUGACUGUCCUCCCCUCGCGGGGGGACUCGCCUCAAAAACAUUGGCGGCCGGUACAUUGGCUUCGAGCGCAGCAGAAACGCGGUCUCGAGUCCGGUGGAUCGGCUCCCAUAAGUCUAUUCUUUUAUUUUGACCUCGGAUCAGGUAGGGAUACCCACUGAACUUAAGCAUAUCAAUAAGCGGAGGA
rnacentral:misc_RNA from 1 species